rnacentral:rRNA from 2 species
AGAGUUUGAUCCUGGCUCAGGAUGAACGCUAGCUACAGGCUUAACACAUGCAAGUCGAGGGGCAGCAUGGUCUUAGCUUGCUAAGGCUGAUGGCGACCGGCGCACGGGUGAGUAACACGUAUCCAACCUGCCGUCUACUCUUGGCCAGCCUUCUGAAAGGAAGAUUAAUCCAGGAUGGGAUCAUGAGUUCACAUGUCCGCAUGAUUAAAGGUAUUUUCCGGUAGACGAUGGGGAUGCGUUCCAUUAGAUAGUAGGCGGGGUAACGGCCCACCUAGUCAACGAUGGAUAGGGGUUCUGAGAGGAAGGUCCCCCACAUUGGAACUGAGACACGGUCCAAACUCCUACGGGAGGCAGCAGUGAGGAAUAUUGGUCAAUGGGCGAUGGCCUGAACCAGCCAAGUAGCGUGAAGGAUGACUGCCCUAUGGGUUGUAAACUUCUUUUAUAAAGGAAUAAAGUCGGGUAUGCAUACCCGUUUGCAUGUACUUUAUGAAUAAGGAUCGGCUAACUCCGUGCCAGCAGCCGCGGUAAUACGGAGGAUCCGAGCGUUAUCCGGAUUUAUUGGGUUUAAAGGGAGCGUAGAUGGAUGUUUAAGUCAGUUGUGAAAGUUUGCGGCUCAACCGUAAAAUUGCAGUUGAUACUGGAUGUCUUGAGUGCAGUUGAGGCAGGCGGAAUUCGUGGUGUAGCGGUGAAAUGCUUAGAUAUCACGAAGAACUCCGAUUGCGAAGGCAGCCUGCUAAGCUGCAACUGACAUUGAGGCUCGAAAGUGUGGGUAUCAAACAGGAUUAGAUACCCUGGUAGUCCACACGGUAAACGAUGAAUACUCGCUGUUUGCGAUAUACGGCAAGCGGCCAAGCGAAAGCGUUAAGUAUUCCACCUGGGGAGUACGCCGGCAACGGUGAAACUCAAAGGAAUUGACGGGGGCCC